rnacentral:lncRNA from 1 species
UCAGAGUAUAAAAUAGAUUUUAAGAGAGCCAAUGGAUUAGAUAUAUGAAGUAUCGAAGAUGAAGCAGGUCGGGUACGCAAUAGUUUUAGCUUUUGUAAAAGGCAGACCCAUGCCAAGUCCUCAUUUUGCUUGUAUGUAGAGUACGGUCACAUGGCCAUGAGCUUUUAAGUUUUAUCGAUAAGGACCUCCACAUGUAUAACUUUAUUUUCAAGUAAUACCCUAGAUAGAGGAAUUCCUCUACGUACUUUCCCAGCUCUCUAUUUGCUUUUUGCUUUGAAUUGGUUCCCAC